rnacentral:rRNA from 1 species
UAGGGAAUAUUGCGCAAUGGACGAAAGUCUGACGCAGCAACGCCGCGUGGGUGAUGAAGUUUUUCGGAAUGUAAAACCCUGUCGGUGGGGAAGAAACGCACGAGUAGUAACUGGCUCGUGCCUGACGGUACCCACAAAGGAAGUCCCGGCUAACUCCGUGCCAGCAGCCGCGGUAAUACGGGGGGGGCGAGCGUUGUUCGGAUUUACUGGGCGUAAAGGGCGCGUAGGCGGACCUUCAAGUCGGAUGUGAAACCCCCGGGCUUAACUCGGGGCCUGCAUUUGAUACUGUUGGUCUUGAGUACAGGAGAGGAGAGUGGAAUUCCAGGUGUAGCGGUGAAAUGCGUAGAUAUCUGGAAGAACACCAGUAGCGAAGGCGGCUCUCUGGACUGAUACUGACGCUCAAGCGCGAAGGCUUGGGGAGCAAACAGG